GCUAGGUAUAGUGUGUACCUGUAGUUCCAGCUACUCGGGAGGCUGAGGCAGGAAGAGGGCUUGAGCCCAGGAGUUCUGGGCUGUAGUGCGCUAUGCCGAUCAGGUGUCUGCACUAAAUUCAGCAUCAAUAUGGUGACCUCCCGGGAGCGGGGGACCACCAUGUUGCCUAAGGCAGGGUAAACCAGCCCAGGUCAUUAAUGGAGCAGCUCAAAACUCCGAUGCUAAUCAGUAAUAGGACUGUGCCUGUGACUAGCUACUGCACUCCAGCCUGGGCAACAUAGGGAGAUCCCAUCUUU
rnacentral:SRP_RNA from 1 species